GACGAACGCUGGCGGCGUGCUUAACACAUGCAAGUCGAACGGAAAGGCCCUGCUUUUGUGGGGUGCUCGAGUGGCGAACGGGUGAGUAACACGUGAGUAACCUGCCCUUGACUUUGGGAUAACUUCAGGAAACUGGGGCUAAUACCGGAUAGGAGCUCCUGCUGCAUGGUGGGGGUUGGAAAGUUUCGGCGGUUGGGGAUGGACUCGCGGCUUAUCAGCUUGUUGGGGGGGUAGUGGCUUACCAAGGCUUUGACGGGUAGCCGGCCUGAGAGGGUGACCGGCCACAUUGGGACUGAGAUACGGCCCAGACGGCUACGGGAGGCAGCAGUGGGGAAUAUUGCAGAAUGGGCGGAAGCCUGAUGCAGCAGCGCCGGGUGCGGGAUGACGGGCUUCGGGUUGUAAACCGCUUUCGCCGGUGACGAAGCGUGAGUGACGGUAAUGGGUAAAGAAGCACCGGCUAACUACGUG
rnacentral:rRNA from 1 species